GUAUCUUCAUGAGACAGAGGUAAAAUCUUCACUAAACUCUUAGCAUCAUUGAAACAUGUGUUGUAAAAGCAAGAAUGUUCAUAGUAUAUUGUUAAUCUAUUAAUGUAAACUUUUCAUAGAAAAUAUAUUGUCAGUGUAGUACUAUAUUCAGCAUCGUCUUCAGACAUUAUUUUUUUCUUUUUUGCCUUUUUCUUUGGCAGUUGGAUUCCUAGAGAGCAUGUUUGUUUUUAUCCCUGGUAUAAAAAAUAGAUGUUGCUUAUUGCCUUUAUAUGAAGGAGAGACUCCUUAUUGUUGUUGAUGCCUUCCUCUCUCAUGUUGGUAGCAUUGCAUGAAGGAAAUUAAGAUUGAGCACUCGAGUGAAUGUCCAAGAACAGCAUGUAUUGAGACACAAUGUAUUUAUUCUUCCGAGGAAGGACAGAUCUUGCAAAAGAUUGAUGAUCUUUCGAGAUCGUUGGAUGAGCCCGAUGAUAGUAACGAAGCCGAUGUUACUGAUGAUUCUGAUGCUAGCAACGAUUCUUAUAAUAACAACUUGCCAAAAUUUAUUAAUUUUAUUUGAGCCUAUAUUUGCUAUUUGGGUAUUUUGGGAUUGUGGUAGCCUUAUUGGAUUCUCUUGUAAUGUUUCAUUAGUCCAAUGUUCAUAGCUUCUAAUGAACCAAUUAAAGGGUAUUGCUAUUAAACUAACAUUUCAAUACAAAGUGUUGAUUUAUGACUUGUGUGUGGAUUGUACAUGGAACUUCUUGAAGCUACCAAAACUAAAAAUUUAGUUCACUGAUGAAAAAAU
rnacentral:lncRNA from 1 species